GAAGAGUCAGGUGAGCCUGCAGCAUGACCAUUGGUCUGACUGGCCCAGAGACAAUUCAAGCCAGGGGAACGUGAGUGGGGAUUAUGCGAUAGCAGGCACUAUAGGAGCAGGUCCAGGGGCUGGACACCUCAGCCUGUCCCACCUCAGGACAGAUCUCAAAGUGAUCUACUGUAACAGAAUUAUAAAUCAAUGGUGACAAGGACCCAGAGAAGAAAGGUGAAUUCAAACGGAGAGUCUUGAAAAAAGACCUCAGAAGUGGUGAUAUCAAGGCGUUCACCAUGAUGUGGGACCAACGAUGGAGCCUUCUCUUGCCUGGUCCUAUUCCUAUGCCAAGCUGACUCAAGGCAUGUCAAAUGAUAACACAGACAGAGAAGCCAGGCUGUGCUCUCAUUAACUUGCUGCAACUGGUAUCCACCAGCACAGGAUUUCCAAACAAUCCAGUGAUCAGUCAAGAUGCUGGUGAAGGAAACAGAGUCCAGGGUCACCAUCUCCUACUGCAUGUCAGCCUGUUCUUCAGUCUCCAGCAUGAGAAGGCCUUGGUCUAAACCCUGACUCUGGCAGCUCUCUGCUGUGUUAUUAGCUGCUGUGGCUGGAAGCCCCUGUUCCCUCACCAGAAAAAAGACUAACAUCAACUUUGGGAGCAUUAGUGCAUGGACCGUAGGAGAUGAUUAAUUAAUUAAUACUGGCUUUUAGAAGAUUCAUUUUUAUUUUUUUUAGUUGUAGGCUACAUGGGGAAGGUCUGUUAGUGGAGUGCAUGUACCUGUGGCAUCCAGAAGAGGGUGUCAGCUCCUCCAGAGCUGGAAUUAUAGGAGGUAGUGAGUCCACCUGACCUGGAAAUUAAAUUCCGGCCCUCCGCAGGAGCAGCAAGUGCUCUUAACUGGUGAGCCACCAUCUCUCUAGCCCUUAGUGGUUGUGAAGGCACUUGCCCAGUAUGAGCUAUGGCUCCUCAACUCCUCAUAUCAACUCUUGCUGAUUCUCAAUCACCUUUGUUCUCCCACUUCUCAGAACCCACUCAAGAGGCCAAGGCUUUACCCUCAUUCAUUGGACCUUUGCAGGGAGGGAACAGGGACAAAAGAAAUUCAGUUAUAACUCUGUCCAUGAAACACACAAAGAGUGACCUCCACUGUCGUGAAAUGGCAUACAUGUCUGCCUGGGCACUUGCACACACACGCACACAUGGGCAAACAAUUUGAGUAAUUUUUGAAGUAUUAACAGAGCUCAAGCUACCUAGCAAUGUUUCAACUGGAAAUGCCUUCUCACAACUAUUGAUAUUUCCUGCUUCCUUCCUUUCAGGGCUGUGGAAGGGCUCUGCUACACCACUCCAUAAGGGCUAUGUGGGAAAGAGAAAAACUCACCCUGUUUUUCUGCCACCAAAAGGGAAAGGGUUGGUGGCCAGAUGGUUUUGGGUGGGAUUAAUCUCUUGAUUCCUUGGCGCAUGAGAGGAAAACAUGAAGAGGACUGAGAACAGUAAUACAGUGGUGAGGCCUGGCCUCAGAUGACAACUGCCAAUUGUCCUGUCCUGCUUCUCAACAGGACAGGAGUUGCAGGGAAGACCUAACCAGGAGCUUUGUCCCUCACUGUCUGCAUAGUCCCAUAUCAGAUAAAUAUGAACAAAUCACCCUGUACGUCUGCAUGAAAAUGUCAUGAUGAAACCCAUUGUUUCAUAUGAAUAAUAGUCACAUGUGAAAGAAAAAAUAAAUAAAUCAGCCGCCCUAUCUGCUCGGUGAUGAGAAA